UUAGAGUUUGAUCCUGGCUCAGAAUGAACGCUGGCGGCGUGCCUAACACAUGCAAGUCGAACGAGAAAGCCAGCAAUGGUGAGUACAGUGGCGCACGGGUGAGUAAUACAUAGGAAUCUGCCUCUGAGUGGAGAAUACCCUAGAGAAAUUUAGGUUAAUACUGCAUAAGCCCGCAAGGGGAAAGGUGGCCUCAAGCUGCCGCUGAGAGAUGAGCCUAUGGCCUAUUAGCUAGUUGGAGAGGUAAAAGCUCACCAAGGCGAAGAUGGGUAGCCGGCCUGAGAGGGUGUACGGCCACACUGGAACUGAGACACGGUCCAGACUCCUACGGGAGGCAGCAGUGGGGAAUCUUGCACAAUGGGCGAAAGCCUGAUGCAGCGACGCCGCGUGGAGGAUGACGGUCUUCGGAUUGUAAACUCCUGUUAAGUGGGAAGAAAGAUCCAUACCUAAUACGUAUGGAGGAUGACGGUACCACUAGAGAAAGCACCGGCAAACUUCGUGCCAGCAGCCGCGGUAAUACGAAGGGUGCUAGCGUUAUUCGGAUUAACUGGGCGUAAAGAGCGUGUCGGCGGUCUUUUAAGUCAACUGUAAAAGAGCUCGGCUUAACCGAGUAAAUGCGGGUGAUACUGGAAGACUAGAGUACUGGAGAGAAAGGUAGAAUUCUCGGAGUAGCGGUAAAAUGCGUAGAUCUUCGAGAGGAAUACCGGUUGCUAAGGCGGCCUUUUGGUUCAGUAACUGACGCUUAAGCGCGAAAGCGUGGGGAGCAAACAGGAUUAGAUACCCAUGGUAGUUCAAGCCGUAAACGAUGAUCACUAGAUGUGGGUCGUGCAUAGCAUGAUCUGUGUCGUAGCUAACGCGUUAAGUGAUCCGCGUGGGAAUUACGGUCGCAAGAUUAAAACUCAAAGGGAAUUGACGGGGGGUCCGCACAAGCGGUGGAACAUGUGGUUUAAUUAGACACUACGCGAGAAACCUUACCUAGGCUUGACAUGUAACUGCUACUGAUAGAAAUAUUGGGUUCUGUAGCAAUACAGACGGUUACACAGGUGCUGCAUGGCUGUCGUCAGCUCGUGUCGUGAGACGUCGGGUUAAGUCCUUGAACGAGCGCAACCCUUGCCGUUAGUUGCCUGUCGUAAGGCGGCACUCUAGCGGGACUGCCGUGGAAACACGGAGGAAGGUGGGGAUGACGUCAAGUCCUCAUGGCCCUUAUGCCUAGGGCUACACACGUGUUACAAUGGCGAGCAACAAAAGGAUGCAAUACCGCGAGGUGGAGCAAAUCCCUAAAACUCGUCUAAGUUCGGAUUGUAGUCUGCAACCCGACUACAUGAAGCUGAAAUCGCUAGUAAUCGCAUAUCAUAACGAUGCGGUGAAUACGUUCUCGGACCUUGUACACACCGCCCGUCACACCAUGAGAGCCGUCGGCACCCGAAAUCAUUUUAGCUAACUGAGCAAUCAGGGGCGGAUGAUGAAGGUGAAGGGGGUGAUUGGGGUGAAGUCGUAACAAGGUAGCCGUA
rnacentral:rRNA from 1 species